rnacentral:rRNA from 1 species
GGGUUGUGAGGUUAAGCGACUAAGCGUACACGGUGGAUGCCCUGGCAGUCAGAGGCGAUGAAGGACGUGCUAAUCUGCGAUAAGCGUCGGUGAGGUGAUAUGAACCGUUAUAACCGGCGAUUUCCGAAUGGGGAAACCCAGUGUGUUUCGACACACUAUCAUUAACUGAAUCCAUAGGUUAAUGAGGCGAACCGGGGGAACUGAAACAUCUAAGUACCCCGAGGAAAAGAAAUCAACCGAGAUUCCCCCAGUAGCGGCGAGCGAACGGGGAGGAGCCCAGAGCCUGAAUCAGUGUGUGUGUUAGUGGAAGCGUCUGGAAAGGCGCGCGAUACAGGGUGACAGCCCCGUACACAAAAAUGCACACAUUGUGAGCUCGAUGAGUAGGGCGGGACACGUGGUAUCCUGUCUGAAUAUGGGGGGACCAUCCUCCAAGGCUAAAUACUCCUGACUGACCGAUAGUGAACCAGUACCGUGAGGGAAAGGCGAAAAGAACCCCGGCGAGGGGAGUGAAAAAGAACCUGAAACCGUGUACGUACAAGCAGUGGGAGCCUCUUAAUGGGGUGACUGCGUACCUUUUGUAUAAUGGGUCAGCGACUUAUAUUCUGUAGCAAGGUUAACCGAAUAGGGGAGCCGAAGGGAAACCGAGUCUUAACUGGGCGCUAAGUUGCAGGGUAUAGACCCGAAACCCGGUGAUCUAGCCAUGGGCAGGUUGAAGGUUGGGUAACACUAACUGGAGGACCGAACCGACUAAUGUUGAAAAAUUAGCGGAUGACUUGUGGCUGGGGGUGAAAGGCCAAUCAAACCGGGAGAUAGCUGGUUCUCCCCGAAAGCUAUUUAGGUAGCGCCUCGUGAAUUCAUCUCCGGGGGUAGAGCACUGUUUCGGCAAGGGGGUCAUCCCGACUUACCAACCCGAUGCAAACUGCGAAUACCGGAGAAUGUUAUCACGGGAGACACACGGCGGGUGCUAACGUCCGUCGUGAAGAGGGAAACAACCCAGACCGCCAGCUAAGGUCCCAAAGUCAUGGUUAAGUGGGAAACGAUGUGGGAAGGCCCAGACAGCCAGGAUGUUGGCUUAGAAGCAGCCAUCAUUUAAAGAAAGCGUAAUAGCUCACUGGUCGAGUCGGCCUGCGCGGAAGAUGUAACGGGGCUAAACCAUGCACCGAAGCUGCGGCAGCGACNNNNNNNNNNNNNNNNNNNNNNNNNNNNNNNNNNNNNNNNNNNNNNNNNNNNNNNNNNNNNNNNNNNNNNNNNNNNNNNNNNNNNNNNNNNNNNNNNNNNNNNNNNNNNNNNNNNNNNNNNNNNNNNNNNGACAAAUGCCCUGCUUCCAGGAAAAGCCUCUAAGCAUCAGGUAACAUCAAAUCGUACCCCAAACCGACACAGGUGGUCAGGUAGAGAAUACCAAGGCGCUUGAGAGAACUCGGGUGAAGGAACUAGGCAAAAUGGUGCCGUAACUUCGGGAGAAGGCACGCUGAUAUGUAGGUGAAGCGACUUGCUCGUGGAGCUGAAAUCAGUCGAAGAUACCAGCUGGCUGCAACUGUUUAUUAAAAACACAGCACUGUGCAAACACGAAAGUGGACGUAUACGGUGUGACGCCUGCCCGGUGCCGGAAGGUUAAUUGAUGGGGUUAGCGGCAACGCGAAGCUCUUGAUCGAAGCCCCGGUAAACGGCGGCCGUAACUAUAACGGUCCUAAGGUAGCGAAAUUCCUUGUCGGGUAAGUUCCGACCUGCACGAAUGGCGUAAUGAUGGCCAGGCUGUCUCCACCCGAGACUCAGUGAAAUUGAACUCGCUGUGAAGAUGCAGUGUACCCGCGGCAAGACGGAAAGACCCCGUGAACCUUUACUAUAGCUUGACACUGAACAUUGAGCCUUGAUGUGUAGGAUAGGUGGGAGGCUUUGAAGUGUGGACGCCAGUCUGCAUGGAGCCGACCUUGAAAUACCACCCUUUAAUGUUUGAUGUUCUAACGUUGGCCCGUAAUCCGGGUUGCGGACAGUGUCUGGUGGGUAGUUUGACUGGGGCGGUCUCCUCCUAAAGAGUAACGGAGGAGCACGAAGGUUGGCUAAUCCUGGUCGGACAUCAGGAGGUUAGUGCAAUGGCAUAAGCCAGCUUGACUGCGAGCGUGACGGCGCGAGCAGGUGCGAAAGCAGGUCAUAGUGAUCCGGUGGUUCUGAAUGGAAGGGCCAUCGCUCAACGGAUAAAAGGUACUCCGGGGAUAACAGGCUGAUACCGCCCAAGAGUUCAUAUCGACGGCGGUGUUUGGCACCUCGAUGUCGGCUCAUCACAUCCUGGGGCUGAAGUAGGUCCCAAGGGUAUGGCUGUUCGCCAUUUAAAGUGGUACGCGAGCUGGGUUUAGAACGUCGUGAGACAGUUCGGUCCCUAUCUGCCGUGGGCGCUGGAGAACUGAGGGGGGCUGCUCCUAGUACGAGAGGACCGGAGUGGACGCAUCACUGGUGUUCGGGUUGUCAUGCCAAUGGCACUGCCCGGUAGCUAAAUGCGGAAGAGAUAAGUGCUGAAAGCAUCUAAGCACGAAACUUGCCCCGAGAUGAGUUCUCCCUGACUCCUUGAGGGUCCUGAAGGAACGUUGAAGACGACGACGUUGAUAGGCCGGGUGUGUAAGCGCAGCGAUGCGUUGAGCUAACCGGUACUAAUGAACCGUGAGGCUUAACCUUACAACGCCGAAG